rnacentral:lncRNA from 1 species
CUUAUCAUUCUGCAUUGCUAUUCAACUUUGGCUUUUUUACAUGACUCUUUCACAAAUCUGAGAGGUUGGUUCCAGGAAUCAGAGCUCAUAUCUAAUUUACUUUUUAUCCCCAGAAUCUAGAAAUGUGCUUGGCACUUUGUUUGGGAUCAAUAGAUAUUACAAAAUGAAUGAGUGCCCAGAUUUAUCUGAAAAGGUGAUGAUAGAAUACAAGACAAACUCAACAUGCAUUUCACUCAGGUGAAGAAUAAUGAACCUGAUUAUUGAGUGGAUAUGAAAGAACUCACAUAAUUCUCCCUAAAAAAAAUCUGUCUAUUCAUUCCAUGCCCAAAUGUUUCACUCCUUUUGUUUCAUCCUCUUUUAUGCUUCAGGGAAGCAAAGGCAAGUCUAAGCACAGAUCUCUGUAAAUGCCUCAGCCUGCCCUGCCUAGUGGUUGCUGACUGUUGUACAGACAGGCACAUCCUGUACUACAUUUUGAGAUCCAGUCAUCUUCUAGGGACUGAUGCAAGUUGUGUGGCUCUAUGCUGAUUUGUGUCAAGUAAGAAGGAAGCAACUUGGAAGUCUGUGAAGAACAGGAUCAUCUCUUGAAGCAGGUAGAGUAGGGAAGAAAAAGGUAAAUGGAAUUAAGAGAUACUUAGAAUAAUAUUAGACAAAAACAAGUGGCCAGACCGUGGUGUCCAAACUUUUGACAGCUUGGCAUAAUAUUGCUAAUAUGCAAAUGUUGGCAACAUUCAGAACUGUGUUGGGAUGCAUGCAACCCAUGGGAUACAGAUUAGACAUG